rfam:Oryza glumipatula chromosome 2, whole genome shotgun sequence.
AAAAAGACAAACUCUGGUUUUCAUGUCCAACGUUUGACCGUCCGUCUUAUUUAAAAAAAUUAUAAUAAAAAUAAAAAGACAAGUCACGAAUAAAAUAUUAAUCCUGUUUUAUCAUCUCACAACGAUAAAAAUACGAAUUAUAAAAAAAAAUUCAUAUAAGACGAACAGUUAAAAUUGGACACGAAAACCCAGGGUUUGUCUUUUU